AUUCGGCCGCUGUUCGGCUGCGCGGCGGCAGCUCCCGGCGGCUCCUGGCGGCGCCGCAGUCGGACCUUCGGGCGCCUGCUGGCCGGCGGCAGCAGCGAUGGCCCCCUGAGCAGGCAGGGAGCAGGCGGCGGCAGGCGGGCAAGCGGGCGGGUGCCGCAGCCCAGGCCCGGGUCGCGCCUCUUUGUUUCCACGGGUAGCGGCGCAGUCCCGGGCCCCGGGCGGAAGUGAGACGCGCUCGGCGCGGGGGCCGCGGCGGCCGCACCAUGAGCGACAUCCGCCACUCGCUGCUGCGCCGCGAUGCGCUGAGCGCCGCCAAGGAGGUGUUGUACCACCUGGACAUCUACUUCAGCAGCCAGCUGCAGAGCGCGCCGCUGCCCAUCGUGGACAAGGGCCCCGUGGAGCUGCUGGAGGAGUUCGUGUUCCAGGUGCCCAAGGAGCGCAGCGCGCAGCCCAAGAGACUGAAUUCCCUUCAGGAGCUUCAACUUCUUGAAAUCAUGUGCAAUUAUUUCCAGGAGCAAACCAAGGACUCUGUUCGGCAGAUUAUUUUUUCAUCCCUUUUCAGCCCUCAAGGGAACAAAGCCGAUGACAGCCGGAUGAGCUUGUUGGGAAAACUGGUCUCCAUGGCGGUGGCUGUGUGUCGAAUCCCGGUGUUGGAGUGUGCUGCCUCCUGGCUUCAGCGGACGCCCGUGGUUUACUGUGUGAGGUUAGCCAAGGCCCUUGUAGAUGACUACUGCUGUUUGGUGCCGGGAUCCAUUCAGACGCUGAAGCAGAUAUUCAGUGCCAGCCCGAGAUUCUGCUGCCAGUUCAUCACCUCCGUUACCGCGCUCUAUGACCUGUCAUCAGAUGACCUCAUUCCACCUAUGGACUUGCUUGAAAUGAUUGUCACCUGGAUUUUUGAGGACCCAAGGUUGAUUCUCAUCACUUUUUUAAAUACUCCGAUUGCGGCCAAUCUGCCAAUAGGAUUCUUAGAGCUCACCCCGCUCGUUGGAUUGAUCCGCUGGUGCGUGAAGGCACCCCUGGCUUAUAAAAGGAAAAAGAAGCCCCCCUUAUCCAAUGGCCAUGUCAGCAACAAGGUCACAAAGGACCCGGGCGUGGGGAUGGACAGAGACUCCCACCUCUUGUACUCAAAACUCCACCUCAGCGUCCUGCAAGUGCUCAUGACGCUGCAGCUGCACCUGACCGAGAAGAAUCUGUAUGGGCGCCUGGGGCUGAUCCUCUUCGACCACAUGGUCCCGCUGGUAGAGGAGAUCAACAGGUUGGCGGAUGAACUGAACCCCCUCAACGCCUCCCAGGAGAUUGAGCUCUCGCUGGACCGGCUGGCGCAGGCUCUGCAGGUGGCCAUGGCCUCAGGAGCUCUGCUGUGCACGAGAGAUGACCUGAGAACCUUGUGCUCCAGGCUGCCCCAUAAUAAGACGGUAGUGAGGAUGAGACCCAGUGGUGUUUGUGAAUUUCUCAUCCUACUCCUUGCCACGUGGAGACCUCCACAAACGCAGUCAUCAGGACUCUGAAUUUCGGGGUCGUUUGCAAGGCCAGCUUCCUGGGGCUUCUGCUUGGAAUUCAGCCUCCUCCAGCUGGUGAUCUCGGGUCCCGUGCAGCAGUCGCCUCACGCCGCGCUCCCCCCGGGGUUCUACCCCCACAUCCACACGCCCCCGCUGGGCUACGGGGCUGUCCCGGCCCACCCCGCCGCCCACCCCGCCCUGCCCACGCAUCCCGGCCACACCUUCAUCUCCGGCGUGACCUUUCCCUUCAGGCCCAUCCGCUAGGCUGGCCCGUGUGUGCCUUCUGCGCUCUCGCUGGACGAAGCCUUUCGAGAUGGAAGGGGUGGCCGGACUCCCAGAAGAGAACCUCGGGGAAGGGGUCGGGCAGCCCCUCCCCGCCGGCAGAACCGUCUUGGUGUCACGGAGUCCAGGUGCUUCCCACCCGGUCGCAUUCUUUGACAUGCAGAUUGGAUGGUGGAGGGAAGAGUCCAGCCUCUGCCGAGAGCCUGCUGCGUGCAUUUUUAAAAGAUGCCGAUCCUGGGAGCCUCUGUUCUCUGCGCAUUUCAGACACAGCCUGUGUGGCGAGGAGUGUGACGGCAGGAGCCACGGGUGCAAGCCCGUGUGUCUGGCCUCUUUCCUCGUGAAGACGAUGUGUCCCCGCCAGAAAAAGUGGGCUCCUUCUGCAGCCCCGUGAGCUGAGCCCAGGCUGCGUAGUGACCACAAGCUUAUGUGCAGCACUGCUCAGGGAGGCUGUCAGGAAUUCCCCUCACCUCGGAAAGGAACUUCUCAGUUUUAUUGGGGGUGUCUAAAUUUCCUUUCAUAUGUUCAAAUAAAUUUUUCUAAACAGUCA